rnacentral:SRP_RNA from 1 species
GCCCGAUGUGGUGGUGUGUGCCUGUAGUCCCAGCUACUUGGGAGGCUGAGGUGGGAGGAUUGCUUGACCCCAGGAGUUCUGGGCUGUAAUGCGCUAUGCUGAUCAGGUGUCCACACUAAGUUCGGCAUCAAUAUGGUGACCUCCUGGGAGCUGGGGACCACCAGGUUGCCUGAGGAGGGGUGAACCGGCCCAGGUAGGAAACAGAGCAGGUCAAAACUCCCGUGCUGAUCAGUAGUGGGAUCGCACCUGUGAAUAGCCACUGCACUCCAGCCUGGGCAACAUAGCGAGAUCCCAUCUCU